ACAAAUGGGGAGGCCGGGUGUCUGGUUUUGUGAAGAUGUGUGAGAUUCCCUUGGACAACUCCUAGGGAAAUUGCAGCACGCUUUGGAGAGACUAAUUUUCAUCAGUCAAGUGGCCUGGAGCCACCAUAAUUUGGUCACAAGAAGUCAAUGUGACCUUAUUUUCUGGUCAAGGGCUGGUGAGAUUACAACUAUGUGUUCGGUUAAUCCUCCCCCCACCCUCCAAUAUCCCCACUUAAGAGAUGGGAAGACAGAAUUCCUUGAGGGUGAGGUAGCUUGGGUGUUCAGUUCACCAUGGAGCCAGGACUUGAACUCAGGUCUAUCUCAUAUCUUUCCCUGUGGUCUGCUGCCUCUCAUCAUUGGUGUGGGGAGCUGGGGCCUUGGGCAAAGUUGCCCCUGGUGGAUCCUCAUUGUGAUUAGCUCCAUUUCAAAGAAUGGAGGGCAGGACCCCAUGAGUCUGCUGGGGCUGCCAUAAUAAAGCACUACAAACUGGGUGUCUUAAAACAACAGAAAUGUACUGUCUCAGUUCUGGAGGCUGGAGGUCCAGAGUCAAGGUGCAGGAGGGUUGGAUCCUUCUUAGACUUCUGAAUCAGAAUAGGCUCUACAACUCUCCUGGCUCAGGUAGCCCCAGGUGCCCCUAGGCUUACAGAUGCAGCACUUUAAUCCUCUGUCACAUGGCCACCUUCCUAUAGGGACACCAGUCAUAUUGGAUGAAGGACCUGCCCUACUCUGGUAUGACCUCAUCUUAACUAAUUACAUCUGCAAUCACCUUUUUUGGCGAAUAAGGUUACAUUCUGAGGUAUUGGUAUUCUGGGACUCUGAUACAUCUUUUUGGGGACACAAUUUAACCCAGAACAGACUUCUAAGACUCUAGAUUCUGCCUACCCUCCUGAACCCAUCAAUAAAUUCUUCCACUGCCAUUGGUUCAAUGUGCCAGGAAAAUAAAGCUGAAUGUUGGGGUUCACCUGCAGGGAAGGUGGCAUGCGGGACCCCUCCUUGCUGGAGGACGUAAUUUUUCCCUAAACCAAGGGUGUUUAUUGUAUCAUAAAGCAUCCUAGCAGGGUCUCACCACAACGGCAAACUAAACCCUGAAUCCCCAGACAGCGGGACUGGAGACUCACACUUACUACUGUCCCCCGUGGUGCUUGGUGCAUGGCCGAGUUUGAGAACGGGAAGGGACUCUGGAGGAACUGGCCUGCCACGUAAAGUGCAGCACAGUGGUCUGGCAGGACAGGAGUGAACGGCGACCAGCAGACUUGGCAGGGUGGUGGCCGCUGGGGACGCUCCGUUGGUGAUGGAAUGAAGCUAAUGUCACCCCCACACCCACCUUUGUGUGUCCUUGUGAGCUCGCUAUCUCGAAGCCUGGGUCGUUGACAAGACGCUCCCUCUGCAUGCACAUCAUGGGAACAACGGAAUCUCUGAAUUAGAAGGGUGCUCAGCAGCGACUCCGUCUAUUCCUAGAAGUCGUCCACUCCAAGCUCAUCUCACCAGGUCACAGUCGCAUGUAGGAGGUGCGCCGGUUCCUACUGAUUUGGCAGCCUUCUACAGGGACCCCAGUCAUGUUGGAUUAAGGACCUCCCGACUCCAGCAUCUCUGCCCACUGAAAAAGAACAUGAAGUCUUCCAGACGCCCUCCGCCUCUCUCACCUGGACCGCUGUGUCUCUGCAGCUGCGUUGCUGGUGUUGCUCACCUGAAGUGCAUGAUCCCGUGUGCAUCACCUCCCAUGAGCCCUCUGUGCCUCAGUUACUGCACCUAUAAAAUGCGGAUGAUGUUAGGACCCAUGGUACCUGCAUCAUAGGGUUGUAGGGACAAGCACAUAAAUGAAUGUGUGGAAAGUACUUAGAAGAGCCACUAAUGUAGUAAGCUCUAAAUAGAUGUUAAUUACCAAUAUUAA